CAACCUUAAAAAAUGAGAAGAGAGAGAGAGAGAGAGAGAGAGAGAGAGAGAGAGAAACCGUUGUGUUGCAAAAUAGCACUUUCGUGUAUUGCUUUCUGUUUGGGGUGGAAAGAAAGGAGACACGAACGCGUUGAAUUAUUUUGGAAACUAAAAACAGUUCUUUGGGAUCCUCCUGAUGUUGUGUGUAUAUACACGUGUGUGUGUGUGUGUGAGUGUGUGUGUGUGAGUUACCUUCUGUUCUCCGAGUCAGCGUUGAUACUUUCUGUAGCGGUAUAUCCCUGUCAACGUUGCGCCUGAGGGUCCACCAGAAAGACAACGCCCCACCCUGGUGUAAAAGGUGUUGGAAUGUCGUCAUGUUUUUCAGUUGGAUGAACAGGUUCUCCGCCGUGAGCCGUCAGUCAGCUAGUCCUCAGAGGCCUUCGUUAACUUUCGGGAAGGACAUCGGAUGAGAGAGGAAAUGAUUUUUGAUGCUUUUUUUUUUUUACCUUUAUUUUCAUACGCCAGGAUAUGACAUCACAGGAUGCUUUCGUGCAUAAACGUCCACGUUUUAUACGCUUUUAGGAAAAUAUAAGAGGUAAAUCACUUCUAUAUCGCUCUCUGAUUCACUUGGAUGUGGACGCUCUGUGUCGUCGUCGUCGUCUACCCCCCCCCCCCCGCCGCCCCCCUUCCCAUGAAGUUUAUACUCUAGCUGCUAUAACGUACGUGAGGACAUGAACUUGUUUCAUGGAUGUUCCGCGACGUUAAAUGUAGCUCUAAACAUAUAAAAAGUAUGAAGUAGUGAGUGUUCUUUAGGAAAUAGAAUCAAAUUGGAGCCUUCAGCAAGUCGCUGUGGUACGAGAGGAGUAAAAGACGUCAGGGCGUUCUGAUUAUUAUUAUUAAUAUUAUUGAGUGUGUUUGUUUUGCUAACAUGUGCCUUGCGCUAGACGUCUCUAGCGGCCGAAUAUUUACAGAGUCUCCAACGUGCUUUACAUAAACUGUCAACCGCAAACCUCGGCUCAAAUUUGAAUACCCACCCCUGACCUGUAUCCUACAAGCUGGACUCAAGUCUAACGCGUAUAUAAAAUGACCUGAAAUGAACACCUCGCGAAAGGUCAGACGUCAUUCGAUCACACGUCUUUAAUGUCGUUAAUUACGGUGAUGCGCUUGACACGCCGUGCGUUUUUCUCAUGGUGUCUCGUUUCACUGAAAGCGACGUGAAGAUGACAAGGAUGUCAUUCGUUCCCACGUAAGGAACCGUGAUCUGCCGUUUGCUUAAGGUGUUAGUGGGCGGGGCUGCGAGUUGACUCAUUGGAAUCUGUUCCUCUUAUUUACACGCCAGACGCGAACACACAAAGAGCCUUGUAACAUGUGCUUCCUCAUCAGUUUGCUGCACGCUGACGAAUGAUCCAGACAUUCCAGUUAGUCAGCUGAGAGAGAGGACAGAGUCGCAGUGAACGAGGCAGAAAAAAAAAGAAAAACGAAGCGGCAGGGAUUAGUCGGUGCCUCGUGGUGAGCGUGUACGUAGCGAGUAUAGCUAGUUGGCUUUGAGAACGAAGCUAGCAUGAAGCCGUGUAACUCAAACAACCGGCGUUUACGUUUGUUAGCUUUAGAAGCUGACUAUAGCUACCACUGUUUCUCAUCAGAAUGGGAAAAGAUUCUGGACAAGCCACGCCCACAAAAAUGACAAACUACACCACAAACUAAUUUAAAAAAAAACAACAAAAACAAAACAAUGAUUAUUAAUAAUCAAUGACGGUUUGGUUUGAUGAAGUGGAGUUACUGUUCCCACGCCGAUGACACGCCGCCACGAAGCGUUUUAUUCCUCUUACACCGCAGCGACUUGCCAACGAUUACGAUUUUUACGUUAUUAACGAGUAUUUUUUUUUUUUAUCCGAAUAAAGGGAGAGAAUAAGCAGAGAGAAUAACGGGAGGGAAUGAGAGAGAGAAAAUAGAGAGAGAAUAAAGGGAGAGAAUGAGAGAGAGAGAGAGAGAGAGAGAGAGAAUAAAGAGAGAGAGAAUAGAGAGGGAAUAAAGGGAGAGAAUGAGAGAGAGAGAGAGAAUAAAGAGAGAGAGAAUAGAGAGGGAAUAAAGGGAGAGAAUGAGAGAGAGAGAGAGAGAGA